AUCCUGUUGUAGUUUGUAAAUGUGAUAUUAGGUUUUCACAUACAUAUGUAAGAAGUGCCUCCCUCAAAUCUUGUUAAAUUUGUCAGCACAUUACCUAUCUGACA